rnacentral:rRNA from 1 species
GUGCCAGCCGUCGCGGUAAUACCGGCAGCCCGAGUGAUGGCCGAUCUUAUUGGGCCUAAAGCGUCCGUAGCUGGCCACGCAAGUCCAUCGGGAAAUCCACCAGCCCAACAGGUGGGCGCCCGGCAGAAACUGCGUGGCUUGGGACCGGAAGGCGCGACGGGUACGUCCGGGGUAGGAGUGAAAUCCCGUAAUCCUGGACGGACCGCCGAUGGCGAAAGCACGUCGCGAGAACGGAUCCGACAGUGAGGGACGAAAGCCAGGGUCUCCAACCGGAUUAGAUACCCGAGUAGUCC